rnacentral:rRNA from 1 species
CACCGCCGCGGUAAUACCGGCGGCCCGAGUGGCGGUCACUAUUAUUGGGGUUAAAGCGUCCGUAGCCGGGUUGGGAAGUCCUCCGGGAAAUCUGGCCGCUUAACGGUCAGAAUGCCGGAGGAUACUCCCAGCCUAGGGAGCGGGAGAGGCCGCGGGUAUUCCCGGAGUAGGGGUGAAAUCCUAUAAUCCCGGGAGGACCACCUGUGGCGAAGGCGCUCGGCUGGAACGCGUCCGACGGUGAGGGACGAAGGCCAGAGGAGCAAACCGGAUUAGAUGCCCGGGUAGUCCUGGCUGUAAACGAUGCGGACUUUGUGUCGGACAAGCUAUGAGCUUGUCCGGUGCCGGAGGGAAACCGUUAAGUCCGCCGCCUGGGGAGUACGGCCGCAAGGCUGAAACUUAAAGGAAUUGGCGGG